rnacentral:misc_RNA from 1 species
GUGAAUCAUCGAAUUUUUGAACGCAAAUUGCACUCUCUUCGGAGAGUAUGCCUGUUUGAGGUUCAGCCUAAAAAAUAUCGACAUCGUUUCUGUUUCGCGGUGGCGUUCGUCGGAAGGUGGGUUAUCUUAACUCUUUGGUUUAAGUGAUAUAAAAUCUUCUGUACGAUUCCAUGAACGUUUCUAUGAUUUAUUUCUUUAAACGUUUAAGGUAUUGAUUUUAUUAGGCGUGGUC